rnacentral:rRNA from 1 species
UACAGAGGUCUCAAGCGUUUGUUCGGAUUCAUUGGGCGUAAAGGGUGCGUAGGUGGCGGGGUAAGUCAGGUGUGAAAGCCCCGAGCUUAACUUGGGAAUUGCGCUUGUGACUGGCGAGCUGGAGUGUGGCAGAGGGAGGUGGAAUUCCACGUGUAGCAGUGAAAUGCGUAGAGAUGUGGAGGAACACCGAUGGCGAAGGCAGCCUCCUGGGCCAGCACUGACGCUCAUGCACGAAAGCGUGGGGAGCAAACAGG